UACGGGGGGGGCAAGCGUUGUUCGGAAUUACUGGGCGUAAAGGGCUCGUAGGCGGCCAACUAAGUCGGAUGUGAAAUCCCCAGGCUUAACCUGGGAACGGCAUCCGAUACUGGAUGGCUUGAAUCCGGGAGAGGGAUGCAGAAUUCCAGGUGUAGCGGUGAAAUGCGUAGAUAUCUGGAGGAAUACCGGUGGCGAAGGCGGCAUCCUGGACCGGCAUUGACGCUGAGGAGCGAAAGCUAGGGGAGCAAACGGG
rnacentral:rRNA from 1 species